AUUGAACGCUGGCGGCAUGCCUUACACAUGCAAGUCGAACGGCAGCGGGGACUUCGGUCCGCCGGCGAGUGGCGGACGGGUGAGUAAUGUAUCGGAACGUACCAUUCAGUGGGGGAUAACUAUCCGAGAGGAUAGCUAAUACCGCAUAUUCUGUGAGCAGGAAAGCAGGGGAUCGCAAGACCUUGCGCUGAUUGAGCGGCCGAUAUCAGAUUAGCUAGUUGGUGAGGUAACGGCUCACCAAGGCUACGAUCUGUAGCGGGUCUGAGAGGAUGAUCCGCCACACUGGGACUGAGACACGGCCCAGACUCCUACGGGAGGCAGCAGUGGGGAAUUUUGGACAAUGGGCGCAAGCCUGAUCCAGCCAUUCCGCGUGCAGGAUGAAGGCCUUCGGGUUGUAAACUGCUUUUGUACGGAACGAAACGGUUCUCUCUAAUACAGGGGGCUAAUGACGGUACCGUAAGAAUAAGCACCGACUAACUACGUGCCAGCCGCCGCAGUAACAC
rnacentral:rRNA from 1 species